ACAACCGUAGACCUCAGGUGAUGUGUGGUAACCCCCGGAAUUUAAGCAUAUUAAUAAGGGGAGGAAGAGAAACCAACCGGGAUUCCCUGAGUAGCUGCGAGCGAAACGG
rnacentral:rRNA from 1 species